rnacentral:rRNA from 1 species
GGCCCAAUUUCCUUGGAACAGGAGGUCAUGGAGGGUGAGAACCCCGUGUGUGGCUCGUUCCCCCUAGGUCCUUGUGGCGUGCCCUCGAAGAGUCGGGUUGUUUGGGAAUGCAGCUCAAAAUGGGUGGUAAAUUUCAUCUAAAGCUAAAUAUUGGCGAGAGACCGAUAGCGAACAAGUAGAGUGAUCGAAAGAUGAAAAGCACUUUGAAAAGAGAGUGAAACAGUACGUGAAAUUGUUGAAAGGGAAGCGUUUGGCAUCAGCCCAUGGCGGCGGUCGAACAUCGGGGCUUCUGUCCCGUGCACUCGAUCGCCGUUGGGCCAGCGUCGGCUUUGCCCGCCGGAUAAAGGCCUUGGGGAAGUGGCUCCACCCAGGAGCGUUAUAACCCUCGGCGACAUGCGGCUGGGCGGGGCCGAGGUCUGCGGUCUCAUCCUAGGACGCUGGCGUAAUGGUUCCAAGCGACCCGUCUUGAAACACGGACCAAGGAGUCUAACAUCUAUGCGAGUGUUUGGGUGUAAAGCCCGACCGCGC